GACUGGAUAGCUCAGUUGGCUAGAACGUGGUGCAGGCAAAUGCCAAGGCUGCAGGUUCGAUCCCUGUAUGGGACA